AAUAAGUCCACAAAUAACAAAUGCUGGAGGGGGUGUGGAGAAAAGGGAACCCACCUGCACUGUUGAUGGGAAUGUAAGCUGGUACAGCCACUAUGGAGAAGAGUACGGAGGUACCUUAGAAAUCUAUACAUAGAACUGCCAUAUGACCCAGCAAUCCCACUCGUGGGCAUAUAUCUAGGCAAAACUUUCCUUAAAAAAGACACAUGCACCUGCAUGUUCAUUGCAGCACUAUUCACAGUAGCCAAGACAUGGAAACAACCCAGAUGUCCAUCAACACAUGAAUGAAUUGGGAAGACAUGGUAUAUAUACACAAUGGAAUGCUACUCAGCCAUAAAAAAGAACAAAAUAAUGCCAUUUGUAGCAACAUGGUUGGAACUAGAGAAUCAUACUGAGUGAAGUAAGUCAGAGAAAGACAAAUACUAUAUGAUAUCACAUAUCUGGAAUCUAAUAUGCGGCACAAAUGAACCUUUCCACAGAAAAGAAAAUCAUGUACUCGGAGAAUAGACUUGUGGUUGCCGAGGGGGAGAGGGAGGGACUGGGAUGGAUUGGGAGCUUGGGGUUAAUAGAUGCAGACUGUUGCCUGUGGAAUGGAUUAGCAAUGAGAUCCUGCUGCGUAGCACUGGGAACUAUGUCUAGUCACUUAUGACGGAGCAUGAUAAUGUGAGAAAAAAGAAUCUAUACAUGUAUGGGUAACAUACAUGGGUCACCAUGCUGUACAGUAGGGAAAAAAAUGUAUUGGGGAAAUAACAAUUUAAAAAAAAAAAGGAUCUGGCCUUGCCAUGAGCUGUGGUGUAGGUCACAGACGCAGCUCAGAUCCCACAUUGCUGUGGCUGUGGCACAGGCUAGUGGCUACAGCUCUGAUUCAACCCCUAGCCUGGGAACUUCCAUAUGCCACGGAUGUGGCCCUAAAAAGACAAAAAUAGUAAUAAUCAUUUUUUGGAGACAUUCUCUAGUCAUUUACAUUAUUUCACUAAUAUUGACACCUAAACUGAAUUAUACAUGUACACUAGAUGCACAAGUAGAGACAGUUUGAACCAUUUACCAGCCAUCAUUCUAAUCUUAACCACCCUAUCAUCAUUGUGAAUCCUUUACAUGAUACGUGAAAUCACUAACUCUUCCCUAACUGGAAAGACUAGAGGUCAUCAGUGAUACUGAAGCUACAAAAUACAUAGAUUAUGAAGAUUUAAAUUUUGACUCCUCUAUAAUCCCACAUCAGAUCUAAAGCCAGGAGAAUUAUGACUGAUGGAAGUCAAGAACCAAGUAGUAUAGAGAUAGUCAUCGAAUAUUUUUCAUCUGAAAAUGUUUUUACACUCAUGAGCUGUUCUUUAGGCCUAAAGAACAGCUGCUAUCCCAGGAUGCCUAAAAUCAAGAACCCUGAUAGCAACAGGACAGAGGAAGAUGACUGAGACGCAGGGUGAAUCCACAGCCCCUGGUUGAUGCUCUCUCUGAGCUCCAGGACAGGACCGAGCCUCCGGGGUCCCAGGCCACCCACACACUCCCUUGUGAGCAGGAUCUUGGGAACAUUCCAUGUCAGUAGUGAAGUGGCCUGAGCACUUGUCACAGCCCCAACACUUGUCCUGUGGGGGCUCCAUGCAAUUACAACCCACACUUUCUGGGGUUCUUCCUGCAGGGUCCUUCCUACCACAGGAACAGAGACCACCCAGCAAGCAGCUCCCUGCCCAACCAGCAGGAAGAGGGGAGAGGAGCGGGGGCACAGAGGACUCUCACUCAGACACCAGGAUCCCAGGGCCACCAGCAGGGACAGCAGUGACGGAGAUGAGGCACAGCCCCAGAGAUGGGACUAGAGGGUCCACAGAUGGCUGGUCAGGUCCUGGCUCAUCUUCACCCCAGACACACUGUCCCCCAUACAUCCUGUCCCUAAGUGUAAGUUCUUCCAGUGCAAUCAGGCAGAGCUUCAGACUGAGGGACAGCUCUUCCAAACUGACCCGUUGGCAAACACCUCAGGAUUCACUCAAAUGGGGGCCCUGGAGCUAACAACUCAUGGACCAAAGUGGACGUCGGUGCCAGGGAUGUGGGGGGCGGGGGGGAGUGAAACUUUCAUGGUUGGGAAUUUGGGGUUUACAAGGUGAAAAUUUCUAGGGGUCAUGUGAUGGUUCCAUUGCCAGAGUCCAGCUCCUGCGGCCAGGGAUGUGCACCCUGUUGGGGAUGGACGGUGUCGGCGAAUGCACACAGAGACAGCCUCUUUGUUCCUUCUUUCAGGGCACUGGACUGCUCAAAUUUUAUUGGCAUAGAUGAUUGUUUAUAUAGACAGUUUUCAAUUACACCACAAUGUUAAAAGUACACCUGAAGGUCAAGUUCUAAAAGUUAACUCCCAGAUUAUGCUUCCUAAAAGGCUACAGUCAUAAGGAUUUGGCAUUCACAAGUCUCGUUUUUAGAUUAGUGCUUAUCUCCAAGGCGUCAUGGCAAGAGGACAGUAUGAGAAAAUCAACUUCAGUUAGCUAUCACUUAAAAGUUUCUAAAAUCAAGGACAACUCUCAUAGCUAGGUUUCUUUUGAUCAUGAAUAAUGUAUGUCUAACUUUUAUAAACCUCAUUAAAAUCCUAACUCUAAAGUUUACGGUAUAACUAGUUAGUAGAUAAACACUAUAUUUUUAAUUAAGUUGGAUUUGAAUAGGGGAAAGUCCAUCAGGAUGAAAUUUUUAUAUUGUCAUUUUGUUAAAUCACAAAUCACCACAGGAAAAUAAGAAUGGAAAAUAAGAAUAAUAAGGAAAUAACAGGAAAGACUGAGGAAAAACUGAAUAACAAGUAAAACAACAGGAAAGACUAGGUCACCCGAGAAACAAUCCAUGUUCUCCGGCACAAACAUGGAAAUUGUUUUCCCGGGAAGGCCCCAAUUCUUCCCCAUCAACAUCAAUAAGAGAGCCAUGGAAUGAGGCCUGCCCUCGGAUUGCACGGCACAGGCUGGAAUCAGCCUGCCCUCAGUUUUGCACUGUACAGGCAGGCUUCUAUCCUAACCAGAAGCCCACCUUCAGCAUGCACCAUUCAGGUGAGCUCCCUUCCUUGGUUAGGAACCUGCCUUUGGGGUUUUUUUUUUUUUUAGCCGUCAGGCAAGGUCCCUUCCUUGAGUCCCUGCAUCUCCUCAGCUCCCCGCACUCCAUGACAAGGUAAAGAGACCUGAUGCCUCAGACGUGCACUUAAAAGGACAACAAUGGUAAAGGGCAUGUGAUGUGUUUUAUUUCACUUAAAAUAAAUUUUUUUUCUCUUUUUGCCAUUUCUUGGGCCACUCCCGUGGCAUAUGAAUGUUCCCAGGCUAGGGGGAGAAUCGGAGCUGUAGCCGCCAGCCUAUGCCAGAGCCACAGCAACGCGGGAUCCGAGCCGCGUCUGCAACCUACACCACAGCUCACAACAACGCUGGGUCCUUAACCCACUGAGCAAGGGCAGGGAUCGAACCCGCAACCUCAUGGUUCCUAGUCGGAUUCGUUAACCACUGCACCAUGACGGGAACUCCUAAAAUAAUUUUUUAAAUGAUGUUACUUGAGACGCCACUUUGACUCCCCUUUAUCACAAAUGUGAGGCCCAAGCACCAUCCCCCACCUUGGGGGCUAUCACGGUACCUUCCCACGGCAGGUAGAGGACCAGUCUUAGGGGGGCUAGUCUGUGCUCUCUGAGCUCCGUCCAGGGGAACCCAGAGGGCAGUGACCUCUGUGGAAUAGAUAUGAUAUAUAUCAUGCUGUGAUAUUAAUAUGAUCCCACCAAGGGUUACUUAUUGAUCACAGCAGAACAUGGAGCAGAAACCUGUUCAAAGAUUCCUUUCAUAUGAACACAAGAUUAAAUGAGAAGAAAGGGGACCACAGGUGAAUCAGGGCAACACCCUCAGUUCAGCUGUUGGAAAUCUCAGAGGGGACAAGACACACUGCAGGCAGACCUGGGGUCACCCCCUACCUGUGAGCCUGACCCCCACAAUCCCAAGACCCUGCCCCUGGGGUCCCACACCCACCUUGGUCAGGACACCAUGGCUGUGCUGGGUUGGCCCCCAACGUGUGAGCAUCCCUGGGGCUGCAGAAAGAAGUGUAGGGUCCACCUCCUCUCCAGAGAUGAGUCCCAGAUAAGUCAGUCCCCUCCUGUUGGUCAUUUUCAUUGUUCUAAAGCUUUCAUGCUAACCUUGAACACACUACCUUGGUCCUGGCAGGCUCCUUUCCUUUCUUACUGAGGCACUGAGGAAACUCACAGGAUGGCAGGGCUGAAAGGGGCAGCUCCUGACUCUGCUGAGUGGGGAGGGUCCACUGGAAAGGGAGCACAGCAGCAGCCUCACCCGCUGCCCAUCGGCCUUAAGCCCACAUCCACGUGCCCAGCAAUCAAUUCACCAGGUAAACCUGCCUCCCUGCUCACUGUGUGCAUGCUGGUGAAUUGGAACAGUUACCAAGCAGCCCACCUGAGGAGUCUUACCAGCCCCUCACAGGGGUAAGGACUAAGGCCCCUUCCCCAGCACCGACCCCUGGGAGGGCCAUGUAGCCACACUCAAGAGCAGAGGCUAUUACCCAGACCCCAGCCAUCUGAGCACUGACAUUCGGAUGCGGACACAGAGCUUCCCAGGACUGCGGCCCGGCUCUACCCAGGUCUCCACACCCCCCGAAGCUCCCACCACUGAAGCCAGGCUCAGUCUCUACCCAGGUCUCCGUGUGCUAGUGUGCACAGAACACAGGUCUAAAUGUUCCCACUGUAGACAGCACAUGGUCAGGUCUAAACAUUCUCGGUUGUAGACAGAGCAUGGAAAGAUCUAAAUUUACUGUGUAGAUGGAACUUGGCCAGAUUUCAGCUAGUUUAGGGCUGCUCUCCUAGGAGGCACAGGUCACACAUGUGGGGUCUCUCAGCUCUGGACAGGGGCUCACUGUCAGGCAGGAACUAGGAUGUGCAUUUCUUUUUUGUUUGUUUGUUUUUUGUCUUUUUAGGGCAACACCCACGGCAUAUGGAGGUUCCCAGGCUAGGGGUUGAAUCAGAGCUGCAGCUGCCUCCUAUACCACAGCCAAAGCAAUGCAGGAUCUGAGCCACAUCUGUGACCUAUACCACAGCUCGUGGUAACACCAGAUCCUUAACCCACUGAGCAAGGCCAGGGAUUGAACCUGCAUCCUCAUGGAUACUAGUCAGAUUCAUUUCCUCUGAGCCAUGGCAGGAACUCCAGGAUGUACAUUUCUUAGAGAAUAAAUUAACACCCCACCCACAUCAGGAAACUGAACAAAAUCUUCAACAUGCAAAACAAAAAACAUCACCAAUUUCUCUGGCCAUAUUAUGGCCAGGAUCCAGAGGUAAACCAGGAGCUUCUUGUGGUGCAGCUCAGUCUCCGGUAAGGACUGACUGGAAGUGGCCUGAUCCCAGCUUCCCAGGUUCCCAGCACAAGGCAGCUGCACUGGAAGCCCAGGCCAGACAGACCAUCCCCAGAAUGGAUUCAGGGUGGAGCACGCUCAGAUCCUGCUUCACAGCAAAGCCGCCCAAGCAGAGAACCCUCAGGCCAAGCUCCACAUGCUCCUCUGCACAACAACCCGCCAGCCCACCCCAGCCCGCCUCCCACCACCCCCACAUGCAGUCUCACAUGAGGGAGACCCAGUGGGGUUGUCAACCCCACACCCCACUCCUGAUACUGAAUUUAGGGAGAAUGAACUCCCUUGACUGGGCAACAGAACCCUGGGAGGAAAGAGGUGGUGGCCCCUUCCAAGUCAGGGCCUCUGAAUUGGACUCUGAAUUGGGUUUAAAGCAGGUGAAGGAUGUUACUGAGACAGUUACGGCAACCAAAAAAACAGACUCUUGGAACUCCCGUUGUGGCUCAGUGGAAACAAAUAGCAUCCAUGAGGAUGCAGUUUCGAUCCCUAGCCUCAUUCAGUGGGUUAAGGAUCUGGCAUUGCCAUAAGCUGUGGCAUAGGCCAGUGGCUACAGUUCAGAUUUGACCCCUAGCCUGGGAACCUCCAUAUGCCAUGGGUGUGGCCCUAAAAAGAUUUUUAAAAAGACAGACUGACAGACUCUGUUAGGACAUUUGCUCCAUCCAUUUAAAUACCCAGGAUCCAUGAGCUUUACAUGGCUCUGCAGGAUUGUUUGAGCAGGUGCAUGCUGACAUAUCUGGGGCCCAACUUAGUCUGCAACUGACUUGCAAGUGGUCCUAGAAAACACAUGGGUGUGCACACAG
rnacentral:lncRNA from 1 species